GUGAUUAUUUCAUGCAUAUCAAGGAUGUGAACCGACUGACCAUUAUACAAUAGGUAGGUUCUGCAAGGAAGGCCUCACAGCAUGAAAGACAUUAUUAUGAUGGAUGAGGGGAAUUAAUUUUCCUUGUAACAGAGCAAAGAUAGAUCUUAUACCAGUACUUUAUUUUAUUUUUUUCGUUGUCUUUUAUACUUUUUGUAGAUCUGAAGAGUUGAGCCUUUUUUUAACUGAAUUUUACCGUUUGUUUUCAUGUAAUGUUCUAACACCACUGUUAUAAAUCAGAAAGGAUACUAGGGUUGAACGUUUGCUAGAAUUUCUAACCACAUUACAUUCGGUAUGCUGCUGUGACAAUUUUGAGUCUCUUUUUCAGUGAUCGUAAUUUGUCAUAGUCCAUCGUAUUUGUUUUCCGUUAAUUGCUUCUUACAUAAACCAGGCUGUUGUGUUGUGUUUUUCGUUUGAAUUGUUUUACAUUUGAUUCUUGUUGAUAUUUGUUUUCCGUUAAUUGCUUCUUACAUAAACCAGGCUGUUGUGUUGUGUUUUUCGUUUGAAUUGUUUUACAUUUGAUUCUUGUUGAUAUCUGUUUUUCUGUUAAUUGCUUCUUACAUAAACCAGGCUGUUGUGUUUUGUUUUGUUUUUUUUUUUUUUGUUUUUUUCGUUAGCAUUGUUUUACAUUUGAUUCUUGGUGAUAUUUGUUUCAUAUCGCAUCCUCUAAAAUUCUUUUCUCCUCCUGUGUAUUAUAUUUCUAAUAAGUACAUAUCCUUUUGUAUAGUUUAUAACUUUUCCUUAUUUUGUCAGUUACGGUACGUACAUUUUCAUAAAGGUAUGUUAUGUAUGUAAAUAUGCAAAUUCGAAUACAUAUUAUGAGCAUUUAUUGCAUUCUUUAGUAAUACGACAUUUACAUGUACUCUUAGUUGACUGCCUCAUAACAUCUGUUUAGGUGACAUCGGUUGUCCUUGAUAUAUCAGCUCUAGCAGACAUUUGUUAAAUUGUAACUCUUUUUAAAACAUAUUCCACGACAGAUCAGGAUGCCGGAAUAAACAUCAAAUAUGACCAAGAUUUAUCAAAUGCCAAUAAAGGACUACUUGAUU
rnacentral:lncRNA from 1 species